rnacentral:lncRNA from 1 species
CUCCGUCCGAACUUCUACAACAUAAUUGAAUCUCGGACUCCUCCAACGUUCGAUCUUCCACAGUGUCCUCAAGACUCCUCCAAUGGACGAACCUCCAUAAUGCCAUCGGAACUCCACUGUCAGUCGACCCUCUAUCGGAUUUCUCAUAAAAUCGGACCUCUCUGACGGACGAUCCUUAGACGAGCUUCUACAUCAGGCAAAUUUCAGAUGGACUUCCCUAGCAAUUGGACUCCUGUCAGACUUCUCCAAUAGAAAGUCUCCAUCCGAGCUUCUACAGCAGAUGACUUUCGCCUGCAGCAUUAGCACCCAAGGCAUCUGACAAUAGUGGACCUAUCAGCAACCUCGAAGACAUCCGAGCCUCUCUUAGAUUACUGAGACAGAUUGCCAGUCCGCUUCCUUAGACGUUCCAGUCGAGCUUCAACCGUCUAGCCCGAACUCUCCAGCAAGUCGCGACAACAGACACAACGGAUACCACUCCACUCUCUGUAACAGAUUCCAUGUGGCCCCACCACUCUCUGGCAAGUCGCAACAACGGACACCACUCCACUCUCCAUAACUAACUCCACGUGGUUCUAAACGGCCCC